rnacentral:rRNA from 1 species
GGGUUGUGAGGUUAAGCGACUAAGCGUACACGGUGGAUGCCCUGGCAGUCAGAGGCGAUGAAGGGCGUACUAAUCUGCGAUAAGCGCCGGUAAGGUGAUAUGAACCGUUAUAACCGGCGAUACCCGAAUGGGGAAACCCAGUGUGAUUCGUCACACUAUCAUUAACUGAAUCCAUAGGUUAAUGAGGCGAACCGGGGGAACUGAAACAUCUAAGUACCCCGAGGAAAAGAAAUCAACCGAGAUUCCCCCAGUAGCGGCGAGCGAACGGGGAGGAGCCCAGAGCCUGAAUCAGCAUGUGUGUUAGUGGAAGCGUCUGGAAAGGCGCGCGAUACAGGGUGACAGCCCCGUACACAAAAGCGCAUGUGCUGUGAGCUCGAUGAGUAGGGCGGGACACGUGGUAUCCUGUCUGAAUAUGGGGGGACCAUCCUCCAAGGCUAAAUACUCCUGACUGACCGAUAGUGAACCAGUACCGUGAGGGAAAGGCGAAAAGAACCCCGGCGAGGGGAGUGAAAAAGAACCUGAAACCGUGUACGUACAAGCAGUGGGAGCACCCUUUGGGUGUGACUGCGUACCUUUUGUAUAAUGGGUCAGCGACUUAUAUUCUGUAGCAAGGUUAACCGAAUAG